CCCGGGACCUCUGUGGGUGAUCGUGGAAGUGAGAGAGGAUGGUUGAUGUAGGCUAUAGAAUGAUCUCACUUCUGCUUCACAUUUUUCCCCCCAGAGUCUAAGGAGGUUCUGCUCAUGGCAGAUGACCAGAAUGCAAUAAACCAAGCCAAACCAAGCCCUGCCAAUUUCCUGUCUGACCAAAGCAAGUCAUGUGGCUAAGCCCAACAUCAGUGGGGCAGGGAAGUACACACCACCCACGUGGAACGGAGAGGGAAAUGAACACUGGCUGAACAACAGUCCACACUGUCACAGGGCACAGGAGAAACGACAGAAGGGACAAGGGCACGGGAAAGAACCGAGGAACAGGAAGCAGGCAAGAGCGCCGGGCAGAGUGUCUUUGGCAGCCCAGUUCAACUCCUUUUC
rnacentral:lncRNA from 10 species